AAGUCGUAACAAGGUUUCCGUAGGUAUGUUAAGCAUCGAGUUCCUUCCUUUUUUGUGACAUUUCGCUAACUUGUGAUCUUAGGUGAACCUGCGGAAGGAUCAUUACUGAGUUAGGGUCUUCUGGCCCGACCUCCAACCCUGUGUCUACCUUACCACGUUGCUUCGGCGGGCCUGUCGACAGGAUCUGUCGGCUGCCGGUGGGUCUUAAACCCCGCUGGACAGUGCCCGUCGAUGGCCAACCUCUAAAACUCUUGAAGAACCAUGCCGUCUGAGUACCAAACCAAAUAAAGUAAAAACUUUCAACAACGGAUCUCUUGGUUCUGGCAUCGAUGAAGAACGCAGCGAAAUGCGAUAAGUAAUGCGAAUUGCAGAAUUCCGUGAGUCAUCGAAUCUUUGAACGCACAUUGCGCCCUUUGGUAUUCCGAAGGGCAUGCCUGUUCGAGCGUCAUUAUCAACCCUCAAGCCUGGCUUGUUGUUGGACCCGGGACCCUUGUCAGGGUCAACCGGUCUCAAAGACAAUGACGGCGUCCGUGAGACCCUCGGUACAAUGAGCUUUCUGAGCACGUACCGCAGUGGGCUGGCGGACCCGGUCCUCCCUUUUUAAUUUCUAAGGUUGACCUCGGAUCAGGUAGGAAUACCCGCUGAACUUAAGCAUAUCAAUAAGCGGAGGAAAAGAAACCAACAGGGAUUGCCCUAGUAACGGCGAGUGAAGCGGCAACAGCUCAAAUUUGAAAUCUGGCCUCUUGGGGUCCGAGUUGUAAUUUGUAGAGGAUGUUUCGGGCACCGCUCCGGUUUAAAUUUCUUGGAACAGAAUGUCAUAGAGGGUGAGAGUCCCGUCUUGAACCGGCGGUAGGGUCCAUGUGUGAAACUCCUUCGACGAGUCGAGUUGUUUGGGAAUGCAGCUCAAAAUGGGUGGUAAAUUUCAUCUAAAGCUAAAUAUUGGCCAGAGACCGAUAGCGCACAAGUAGAGUGAUCGAAAGAUGAAAAGCACUUUGAAAAGAGAGUUAAACAGUAUGUGAAAUUGUUGAAAGGGAAGCGCUUGCAACCAGACUUGAGCGCGGCGGUUCCCCCUGCCUUUUGGUUGGGCUACUCCGCCGUGUCCAGGCCAACAUCGGUUCUGGUGGUCGGUCAAAGGCCCUGGGAAUGUACCUUCUCUUCGGGGAAGACUUAUAGCCCAGGGUGUCAUGCGGCCCACCGGGACCGAGGAACGCGCUUCGGCUCGGAUGUUGGCGUAAUGGUUGUAAGCGACC
rnacentral:rRNA from 1 species